rnacentral:rRNA from 1 species
UAUCUCUGUAGAGUCUGCAUAUCAAUAAGCGGAGGAAAAGAAACUAACAAGGAUUCCCUUAGUAACGGCGAGUGAAGCGGGAAGAGCUCAAAUUUGAAAUCUUCAAGGUUCUACCUUGACGAAUUGUAGUUUAAAGAAGUGUUUUCUGUUAGAUGAGUAGCAAAAGUUCCUUGGAAUGGGACAUCAUAGAGGGUGAGAAUCCCGUAUUUGGUUAUUCAUUCUAGCUUUGUGAUACACUUUCAAAGAGUCGGAUUGUUUGGGAAUGCAGUCCAAAAUGGGUGGUAAAUUUCAUCUAAAGCUAAAUAUUGGCGAGAGACCGAUAGCGAACAAGUACCGUGAGGGAAAGAUGAAAAGAACUUUGAAAAGAGAGUUAAACAGUACGUGAAAUUGUCAAAAGGGAAGCGUUUGACACCAGUGUUGUUUUUCCGAAAAUCAAUUACGAAUGGCUUGAUUUUGUGUUGUAUUGACCUUAUCAGCUUUCUUCACUUUUUUCGAGUCUUUCUUAAUGCACUUUUCGGUUAACAAGUCAACAUCAAUUUCUUUUGUUGUAAAAGAGUAUUCGGAAGGUGGCUUUCUUUUCGGAGAAAGUGUUUAUAGCCCUAUACUUCUACAAUCGGAGAGAUUGAGGUCUGCAGCGUAGAUCCUUCGGGGUUAGAUACACUUGUGCUAAGUUGUAGCUUUUCAUAGACAACUUGUUGACUAUGUUUAGUCAUGCGGCUUACUCGCUUGUGCUAUUUUACCUACGCUUAGGAUGUUGAACUACUGAGACAUAGA